AUGGAGGGGCAGGACGCGCUCGACAUGUCCGACGCCUCGCCGACCUCGUCGUGGGCGGACGGAGCCGUCGAGCACUUCGACGUCGCGUCGUUCGGCGGCGACGGGUACGUCGUCGACGAUGAGGAGAUGUCGGACGUGGAGCUCGGCACGGGUUCCCCGGUGGCCCCUUCGGAGGCCUCGACGCAGCCUCCUACGCCGCUGCGGAGGUGCCUAGCGCCGGUCGUGUCCUCGGACGUCCCGGAGGCGGUGGUGCGGGCGGUCGACGCGGUGAUCAUGGGCGGCGGGGUUGAGCGCCUCCGCGAGAUGGUGUCCGAGGAGAACGGCGAGGUCACGCAUUUCAUCGUAGACGUGCUGAUGAUCACGAUGGGCGGCGUGGACGGCCUCGACGAGGGCGCGGGCGAUGGCACCAGCACCAGCACGGAACCCAGCAUCAUGUCCAGCUCGCGCGCAGCCGCCAUUGCUGUCGAACUGAUGCCUUACCUUCCAUGCGGCACCGAGCCGUCGCCGCGCACCCGUAUGGCCUGCGGCCUCCUCGCCACCCUCAGCGCCUGCACCCGCAACCGCACCAUGUGCUCCGCUUCGGGCCUUCUCGCUAUCCUCCUCGAUUCUGCAGAGAAGCUGUUCGUAAAAAUGGGUCAGAGAAGGGAUUGGGACGGGACACCGCUCGUGCAGUGCAUUCAGGUGCUAGGAGGGCACUCGGUUAGCGUCAAGGACUUGCAUUCCUGGCUCCUUUUGGUCAAGAAGGCGCUUGGGACACGCUGGGCAACGCCGCUGACACUAGCAUUGGAGAAGGCUGUUGGCUGCAAUGAGGCGAAGGGACCUGCAGUGACGUUUGAGUUCGACGGCGAGAGUUCCGGCUUGCUUGCCCCUGGAGAUAGCCGGUGGCCAUUCUCGAACGGUUUUGGGUUUGCCACAUGGAUAUAUGUAGAGUCAUUCUCGGACUCACCCAACGCAGCAGCAUCAACUUCUGGGAGAUCGUCACCAUGGGCAGCAGCAUCAACUUCUGGGAGAUCGUCACCAUGGGCUGCCGCCGCCGCUGCUUUCACACAUGCUGUAGAAGGGGCGAAGGACAUGCCCCGGCUUUUCAGCUUCCUUACUGCUGAUAACGAUGGUGUGGAGGCUUAUUUCCAAGGCAAGUUUCUAGUUGUGGAGAGUGGGACUGGAAGGGGAAAGAAGGCUCCUCUCCAUUUCACCUAUGAAUUCAAACCACAGUGCUGGUACUUCAUUGGUUUGGAGUGCACAAGCAAGCAGGGUUUGCUCGGAAUGGUCGAGAGUGAACUACGGCUGUAUGUUGAUGAUAAGCUUCAUGAGAGCCGUCCGUUUGAGUUCCCCCGUGUCUUGAAACCGCUGGCAUUCUGCUGCAUCGGGACAAACCCGCCACCAACUAUUACUUGUCUGCAACGGCAAUGCCCAUUAUUUGCAGAAAUGGGGCCUAUCUAUAUUUUCAUGGAGCCGAUUGGCCCAGAGAGAAUGGCCCGGCUAGCUUCUAGGGGAGGAGAUGCACUUCCUAGCUUCAGCAGCGGUGCUGGUUUGCCUUGGAAAGCUAGCUGUGAUCACAUUAGGGAAAUGUCAGAAGAUAGUUAUACACUUGACAUUGAGAUUGGAGGAAGCUUACAUCUUCUUUAUCAUCCUAGCCUACUUAACGGCCGAUUUUGCCCCGAUGCUUCACCUUCUGGUUCAACAGGUACUCACCGAAGGCCUGCGGAAGUUAUUGGGAUGGUUCACAUAUCUUAUCGUGUGCGACCUGCAGAAUCAUUAUGGGCAUUAGCUUGUGGAGGUCCAAUGGCUUUGCUACCAUUGACUGUGAGCAAUAUUGAGAUGGAUAACCUGGAACCUAUACUUGGUGAUGUGUCACUGUCUCUUGCUACGUCUUCUCUUUCUGUUCCUAUAUUCAGAAUAAUUUCUCUGGCAAUUCAACAUCCUGGAAAUAAGCAAGAGCUUUGCCUUACCCAUGGACCAGAGCUUCUAUCACAAGUUUUACAAUAUUUGUUGGAAACACUGUCAAAACUAGAAAGUGGGAAGAAAGAGAUACUGAGAGACGAGGAGCUUGUUGCUGCAAUUGUAUCUUUGUGCCAAUCUCAAAUAAAUGAUCCUGGUCUAAAAGCGCAGCUCUUUAGCACUUUGCUGUUGGACCUGAAGAUGUGGAGCUCAUGCAACUAUGUUCUGCAGAAAAAGCUUCUCUCUUCACUUGCAGACAUGGUUUUUGCAGAAUCUGCUUGCAUGUAUGAUGCAAAUGCGUUGCAAAUGCUUCUUGAUGGAUGCAGAAGGUGUUACUGGGUAACUCGUGAAGGAGAUUCAAUAGAUACCUUCACAUUGACUGGAACUGAGAGACCUUUAGGGAAAGUGAAUGCUCUUGUUGAUGAGCUGUUGGUUGUUAUUGAACUGUUGAUAGGAUCAGCUUCUUCCACAAUGGCUUCUGAUGAUGUUCGUCGUUUGGUAGGAUUUGUUGUUGACUGCCCACAACCUAACCAGGUUCCUAGGGUCUUGCUCCUCAUCUACAGACUGAUUGUGCACCCAAACAGUACUAGAGCGCACAUGUAUGCUCAGUCAUUUAUUUCUCGUGGAGGUGUAGAGGCAUUACUUGUUCUUUUGCAAAGAGAGGCUAAAUCUGGAAAUAACAACACUUUCAACAACUGCGAUGUGCCACAAAAUGCUGCUAAGUGGAAUGGAAGUUCUCAGUCAAAAUCUACUAAUAGUCGUUCACUCUUGAAACCAGCUAGUAGUGAAGCAAACUGCAAUCGUGAGACCCCAUCAGUUGACAGUCAUGAGUCACCCUCUCAUGAUGGUAACUCUGAACCUGUAUCUACUAGCAAAUGGUGCUUACUAAAAAAGCAGUUCCUAAAGAAUCGGAGUGGCAUGGAUCUCCCAAGUAUCACUGACAAUGUUCAGAACAAUGUAUACAAUAUUGAUAAUGGUGAUGGAGUACUUGUUGGGAUAGUUCAUAUUUUGGGCGCUUUGGUUGCCUCAGGUCACCUGAAGUUUGCGUCACUUAUUGCAAAACCAAAGUUGCCAAGUGGUUUUCUGACAACUGCUAAUGCCGAAGGAAAUACCAUGUUUGAAGACAGAGUAUCUUUAUUGCUCUUUGCAUUGCAGAAAGCUUUUCAAGCAGCCCCAAGAAGGCUUAUGACCAGAAAUGUAUAUAGAUCUUUAAUAUCUGCAGUGAUCAACAUUUCUUCAGCAAAUGAUAAUCUGAACUUGUAUGAUUCUGAUUAUCGCUUUCAGCAUAUUCCGCUCUUGUUAGUUCUACUACGUUCUCUUCCAUAUGCAUCACGAGCAUUUCAAGCUCAUACUCUUCAGGAUCUUCUAUUUUUGGUUUGCAGUCACCCUGAGAAUAGAAGUACCAUGACUUCCAUUGCAGAAUGGCCUGAUUGGAUUUUGGAGGUUAUGAUUUCUAAUCAUGAGAUGGGUGAUAACAAAGAUUCAGAUGGUGUAAGCAUAUAUGAGCUUGAAGACGUCAUACACAAGUUUCUACUCAUUAUGCUGGAGCAUUCAAUGUGGCAAAAAGAUGGGUGGAAAGAUGUGGAGGCAACAAUACACUGUGCAGAAUGGCUUUCAAUGGCUGGGGGGUUUAGCAUGGGAGACCAAAGAAUUAGGCGUGAAGAAGCAUUACCAAUUUUCAAAAGGAGAUUACUGGGUAGUCUGCUUGAUUUUUCUGCUCAGGAGCUUCGAGUUCAGCAGUCUGAAGGAAUUACUGCUGCAGCAUCUGAUGUUGAAGUGGAGACUAAAGAACCAAAAAUACAAGCAGAAAAGCCUGCCGAUCUCUUAGUAGUCUUGGCUGAGAAUGCAGUAGUUCUGAUGAUGCUCGUAGAAGAUCAUCUGAGGUCACGCAGCCAACAAUUUUUUACAUCCUGCUUAAUUGACAGUGCUUUAUCUCCUGCAUCGAUGGCUUCAUCAGCUGCCAGUAGGUCAUUGAGCAGAACUGGUAGCGAGCCUUUAGAAGCUGGGGGCUCAAGGCAGUCUUUGUCCAGUGAUGCUGGUGGGCUGCCGGUUGAUGUUCUUGCUUCGAUGUCUGGCACAAAUGGGCAAAUUUCUUCUGAGGUAAUGGAACGCGUAACGGCAGCAGCAGCAGCGGAGCCUUAUGGAUCUGUCAGGCAUGCAUUUCUAUCCUAUGGGAGCUGUAUUUCAGAUCUUUCUGAAGGUUGGAAGUACAGAAGCCGACUGUGGUAUGAUGUAUGCAUUCCAUCCAAAGCUAAUAUCUUUGGGGGAGGAGGAAGUGGUUGGGAAGCAUGGAAAUCUGUUGUAGAGAAGGACUCCAAUGGGGACUGGAUUGAACUUCCAUUAGUGAAGAAAUCAGUUGCAAUGCUGCAGACACUUCUACUAGAUUCUGGAUUUGGGGCUGGCCUUGGCUCUGGAGAGGGAUCUGCCGGUGGUAUUGGUGUUAUGAGUGCACUUAAUCAGUUGUUAGAUAGUGAUCAGCCUUUUUUUUGUAUGCUCCGGUUGACUCUUAUUUCAAUGAGGGAGGAUGAUACUGGUGAAGACGACCUCUUUAUGAGAAACAUUAGCAUGAAGAAUGAUGAUAUAUCAGAAAGAUUGGGCUGUCAAACUGGAAGUGUGAUUGAACUUGAUGGUAACUCAUGUUCGCCUACCAUAAAACCUCAGUCUGCACUUCUAUGGAGAUUGCUUGGCCCCUUUCUGAAUGUGCCAGUUUCUGAAUCUAAGAGACAGAGGGUUCUGGUUGCGUCUUCUAUUCUUUAUUCGGAGGUAUGGCAUGCUGUAAGUAGCGACAGAAAGCCUUUAAGGAAAAAAUAUCUUGGAUUGUUAAUGCCACCAUAUGCAGCUGUCCUGAAAAGAUAUCGCUCUGUUUUGGCUAAUAUUCACGAGCUUGCAUCUUCGGAUGGAGAAAAUCCGCUACUUGUUGGUGAUUGUGCUUCGGCUGCAGAUACUUUACCUGUUGAGGCUGCUGUUUCAUUGAUAUCACCUGGCUGGGCUGCUGCUUUUGCCUCUCCACCAGUUGCAAUGGCAUUGGCCAUGAUUGCUGCUGGUGCCUCUGGGGCAGAAACAAUUGCACCACCAACAAAUAAAUUGCGCAGGCGUGACACCUCAUUGCUUGAGCGUAGAUCAGCUAAAUUACACUCAUUCUCAAGUUUCCAGAGGCUUCCUGAUACAACACCACUCCUGCCUGCAUCUGCACCGAAGGACAAAGCAUCCGCGAAAGUUGCAGCCUUGGCCGCUGCUCGUGACCUUGAGUUUAGUGCUAAGAUUGGCUUGAGAAGGGGUCUUAGUGUUGUAGCAAUGGCAACUUCAGGACAACGGAGGUCUGCGGGCGAUAUUGAGCGUGCGCAGAGGUGGACCACAACUGAAGCUAUGGCUGCUGCUUGGAUGGAGUGUCUGCAAUCUGCUGACUCAAAAUCAGUGUCAGGCAGAGAUUUUUCUGCCCUUUCUUACAAAUAUGUUGCACUUCUUGUUUCAAGUUUUGCCUUAGCACGGAACUUGCAACGAGUUGAGAUGGAGAGACGAACACAGGUUGAUAUCUUGAACCGUCGUUGUGCCUCUGUUGGGGUUCGGGCAUGGCGACGUCUUCUUCAUUGCUUAAUAGAGACAAAUAGACUCUAUGGACCUUUUGGAGAACUUCUAUGUACUCCUGAUAGCAUUUUCUGGAAGCUAGAUUUUACUGAAUGUUCAUCAAGGAUGAGAAGAUUUAUGAAAAGAAACUACAAUGGGUCAGAUCGUUUUGGUGCAGCUGUUAAUUUUGAGGAGCAGAUGCUUCUUUGUGAUGGUGUGGAAUCCAAUGCAUGCCACACAGAGGAAGGGGACACUCGAUCUACAAAUGCUCUCCCAACAACUUCGUUGAUUAUAGUGGCUGAGGCAAUGUCAGUGGAUAGAGGACAUGAAGAUGCUGAGCACAUAGAAACCGAAACAAUUUGCAGCAGUGUAGAUGAUCAAUUAAGAAAUUCCUUGCCACCUGAUCCGUUUAAAGGAUCAAUAGAUCCAAGAAGUUCAGACUUUUCUGGUGUCCGCAACCUGGUUCGAUCCACAGUAAUUGCACCUGGUUAUAGGUCUGGCGAAGAAGAUAAAAGAAUUAUAAUUGAAUUGCCAUCGUUGAUGGUGAGGCCAUUGAAGACCGUACGAGGAACCUUCCAAGUCACAUUAAAGAGGAUUAACUUCAUAGUUGAUGAGCAUACAUCUGACAGUGACAGUUACAUGGAUGAUGUUGCAUCCACUAGCGGCCAAUAUGAUCAGCAAGAUAAAGAUCGGAGUUGGUUCAUAUCUUCGCUGCAUCAGAUUUAUAAUAGAAGGUAUUUGUUACGUCAAAGUGCAUUGGAAUUAGUUAUGGUAGAUAGGUCUAACUUCUUCUUUGAUUUUGAGGAUAUAGAAGCACGCCGACAUGCUUAUCGGGCUAUCAUUCACACCAAACCUCCUUAUUUGAAUGAUAUUUUUCUAGCUACACAGAAACCUGAGCAAAUCCUUAAACAGACACAAUUAAUGGAGCGCUGGGCCAAAUGGGAGAUUAGCAAUUUUGACUACCUAAUGGAACUGAACACUCUUGCUGGGCGCAGUUACAAUGACAUCUCGCAGUAUCCUAUCUUCCCAUGGGUAGUAUCAGAUUACCAUUCCAAAACAUUGGACUUGGAAGAUCCUUCCUCAUACCGAGAUCUUUCAAAGCCAAUUGGUGCUCUAAAUCCUGCACGGCUGAAGAAAUUCCAAGACUAUUACUCUAGUUUCAAGGAUCCAAUCAUCCCAAAUUGUCACUACGGUUCACAUUACUCUAGUCCUGGCACGGUAUUGUAUUAUCUUGCCAGGAUAGAACCUUUCACUACCCUCUCUAUUGAGCUGCGGGGUGGCAAGUUUGGUGAUGAUAAUCACAUGCUCUCUGAUAUCACCAGAACAUGGAACAGUGUCCUUGAAGACAUGAAUGAUGUAAAAGAGCUAGUUCCAGAGAUGUUUUACCUUCCUGAGGUAUUUACCAAUGUGAAUUCUGUUGACAUGGGAACAAAUGAACUUGCUAAAAGGCUAGGCUCUGUAGAAUUACCUCCUUGGGCCGAGAACCCUGUUGAUUUUAUACAUAAACAUCGGAAAGCUCUUGAGAGUGAUCAUGUCUCCGCUCAUUUGAAUGAAUGGAUUGAUCUAAUAUUUGGAUAUAAACAAAGAGGUAAAGAAGCAGUGAUGGCUAACAAUGUUUUUCCCUACGCUACAUACGAGGGGACAGUAGAUAUUGAUAAAAUUGCUGAUCCAGUGCAACGGCAAGCUACACAAGACCAAAUAGUAAAUUUUGGACAAACGCCAUCUCAGUUGCUGAUAGUUCCACAUAUAAAGAGAAGGCCAUUGGCAGAUAUCUUACAGCUGCAGACAAUAUUCCGGAACCCAAGUGAAGUCAGAUCUUAUUUACUUCCUAAUCCAGACCAGUGUAAUGUUCCCGCUAGUGCAGUGCAUGUAUCGAAUGACUGUAUUGUAGUCGUAGAUGCAAAUGUGCCUGCAGCACAUGUGGCAGUGCACCAUUGGCAGCCAAACACCCCGGAUGGCUUAGAGACACCCUUUCUCUUUCAUCAUGGGAAAAAUGCCAUAAAUUCAAGCGGCGGCGCAAUAAGGCGCAUCUUCAAAGGACCUGCUUCUGCAGAAGACUACCAUUUCCCAAGGGCUAUAGCUUUUGCUGCUUCUGCAGUCCAACCUUCGUCAACUGUUGCCGUCACAUGUGACAAAGAGGUUAUAACUGGUGGGCAUGCAGAUAAUUCUGUGAAGUUGAUCUCCUCAGAUGGAGCAAGGACCAUUGAAACUGCAUCUGGGCAUAUUGCUCCUGUGACCUGCCUCGCACUAUCUCCUGAUAACAAUUACUUUGUCACGGGGUCUCGUGACACAACAGUUAUAUUAUGGAGGAUACAUCAGAUGAGCUCUUCACAUUGGAAAAAUGCACCAGAACCUCCACCUUCACCAACAACACCAAUUAGUCCUCUAGCCAAUAGUAUUAGUAGUGGUAGCAGUCCAAUCAGAACUUUGGAAACCUCCAGGAAGCGGCGAAUCGAAGGUCCUAUGCAUGUUCUAAGAGGACAUCUUGGAGAAGUAACUUGCUGUUCUGUUAGUUCUGACUUGGGACUUGUUGCUUCCUCUUCACAUACAUCUGGUGCCCUUCUACAUUCUUUGAGGACAGGUCGGCUCAUAAGGAAGCUGGAUGUGGGAGAGGCACAUUUGAUAUGCUUAUCUCGUCAAGGAAUCGUAUUGAUUUGGAAUGAAUCAGAGAAGAGACUAUCCACCUUCACUGUUAAUGGAAUCCCUAUGUCUACCUCGGUCCUGUCACCUUUCUCCGGGCGUGUUAGUUGCAUUGAGGUUUCUAGGGAUGGCCAGUUUGCUUUAAUUGCAGCAUGUUUAUCUAGCAAUUGCACUCGUGACACUAGUACUGAUGAAGAUCAUAUGAUUGAGAACUGCAACGAUGAUGAGGAUGUACCAGAGUCAAAGGAGACCAAGCUAUACGUUCAUGCUCCCUCGAUCUGCUUCAUUGAUCUACACAAACUUGAGGUAAUUCAUACGCUGAAGCUGGGAGAAGGACAGGACGUCACAGCUGUUGCUCUAAAUGAAGAUAACACUACUCUUGUUGCCUCAACAGCUGAUAAGCAGCUGAUAGUCUUCACAAAUCCUUCUUUGAGUUCUAAAAUAGCUGAUCAGAUGCUGCACGAAGGUGACGGGCUUUUGUAG
rnacentral:rRNA from 1 species